rnacentral:lncRNA from 10 species
UUGAACUCCUGACUUCAGGUCAUCCGCCCACCUUGGCCUCCCGAAGUGCCGGGAUUACAGGCGUGAGCCACAGCUCCUGGCUGGAGUUUCAGUUUGGGAAGAUGAAGAAGUUGUGGAGAUGGGGGGUGGUUAUGGCUGUAGGACCCUGUGAAUGUGCUCACUGCCACGGAACAGUUCACUCACCAGUGGUAAAGAAGAGGCAGAUCUCGGCCCCACGGCUCCUGACCUUCUCCCUGUUUAACAACCCAUUUCCUGCCUCACCGCCUUUGGGACCAGGUUGCCGCUGGGCCCCAGAUGGCGGGACGCUGAAGGUCUGCAUCUCCGGAUCUCCAGUUCAUCAGUCACCGGCUGAGAUGGAGUCGGCACUCCGUGGCUGCACGGUGCCCGCCUGAGCUCCAGCUGACUUCAAAUAGUUCCUGAAGAUGGCUCGUGUCUAUGUUCCCGCAGUGGCCUGGUUUUAAGCAGAAAGCUUGUCUGCGACCGCCGGCUGCCAAGACUGUCUCUCUGUUCAUUCUCAACCCUGCCUCCCUGCCCUCGGCAGCCCCUCACUCUCUGAUGUGUGACUAAGGCUCUGUUUAUGCUCUCAUUAAGGCAGACAGAGUGCAAUGCCGUUUGCAAGUGAGCUACAGAAUUAUUCACCAAAACAGCGUCUAGAGGUUCAUCCUUAAGGAACAGUCACAGGAAAAUUGGUUUCUGUACCACACAUGGAAAAUAGAGACAAAUGGUUGAGCUCUAAGUUCCAUGAUUCGUUCUCCAUGGCCAGGAGAACCACUUAAAGGAUUCCACGCAGAUGGGCAGUGGCCGAGGCAGUUUCCUCAUCCAGGAAGUUCUUGUCCUGGUAGAAACUAAACGAUAGAAAGGCCAGCUCCGACGCCACAGCGGCCUCCACAGAGGGGCUUACGGUCACGGCACAAGCGGCUGAUUUCCAGAUAAAGGGAGCAAGUCAUAACUGGGAUGAGUGUUCCUAGGGCCAGAGGGAUGGAGGCAGUACCCCAGGUGAGGAAGGGCUACGGGAGGGUCACGGCAGUGUCUGGGAAAGCGUGGGUCUGCCUGCAGUUAGAGUUACAAGCAUCAGAGUCUGCACUCCUACCCAGAUGAUGGCAGAGUGACGCAUGCAGUAAGGGAACAGCCAGGCUGAUCCCCCGGCAUCGCGUCCCAGGCAGGCCAACCCUGUGACAAGCCCUCCAGCCGGGGCCGCCCUCUGAGGCUGGAGUCAUGGGGAAUGGACAAGGCUGGCUGGAGCCAAGUGACCAAGGGGACAAGCCGGCAGAGGCAGGUGACAACGCCACCUCCAAAGCUCAGUGGGGUGCUGCCCAGGCCCUGGCCUCUGCCGCGGCUCUGCCAGGCAUCUCCAGCCCCAUGGCUUCUGUUGAGACCCCUCUGCCUUGUUGAAACCGAGGCCAUCCUGAUGAUGUCUGAAUGCCUUUGGGGUGCUUCUCUUGGAGGACAGAGGGGAGCCGCAUCAAACCCGCGGGGAGAGGGGUCACGUCAGAUGUGGCAGGGCCCGGCAGGGAACUGAGGGGUUUCGGCCUCACUCCUUCCUCUUCUCUGUGGUUAAAUUGAGGUGGUGCUUGAUUUUUUUUUCCUCGUGUUUUUCUCCUGGUUUCCUGCACUGGGCAGGGAAAGGGUGCUGGUGUCCGUGAACAUGGCCGUUUCACGCCUCCUGGUGCCGAUGGAGUGGCGCUUUCUACACCACAACUUGCUUCCUUCCUUCCUCAGUACUUCCCGGUGCCUUUCUGCCACUGAGGUCGGCCUCCUUUCAUGGAACUGAUGUACGUGAAUCUGCGACAUGGAUGCAUCAUCAUUUACAUAACCGGUUUCCAACCCGUGAACGUUGACGUCGUCUGCAAAUGUUCAUUCUCGGGAGCAGGGCUGCAGGAUCCUCCUGGGGGCCACUUUCUGCACAUGCACAGACUUCCGCAGAGAUUUUCAAACCUAAAACUGCUGCAUAAAAGAAAAUGCACAUUUAAAAUGUGAUAGAUGCCGCCAAUUUGCCCCUGAAACGUAUCCAUUUUCUCUGGUUUAUUUUCAUGAUUUCUCCUUAGAAUUUUUCACUGUCUGCAGCUAAUCCAUGUUCUGACCAUCGAUCGGCCUGGCUGUGUUUCCAUCAGCUGUGGACACCCUGUGGACAGACACGGGGCUCCUAUCAUCUCCCCUUGCCUUUCCAGGCCUGGGAACGUUUACUGAAUGAAUGAAUCCAAGGACUGAGCCACAGUUCAGGAGGACACACAUUUCCCCAGCCCCUACCAAUCCUGAAUGUUGAGAAUCCCUCCAAUUUAGCCAAUUUGAGAGAGGUAUCAUUGUUUUUAUACUAGUGAGGUUGAUUGAUUGUAUUUUAUGUUUAUUUGCCAUUUAUACAUAUUUCUUUAAUUUGCUUGUUCAUAUAAUUUUUUCCAUUCUUUAAUUGUUUUAGUUGUAUUUUUCUUGUUGAAGUGUGAGAUAUAUAUUUAUCUAUAUAUUAUAUACGCACAUAUAUAUAUCAUCUUAAUUCAAGGAAGCUUAAAGAUUUUAGCAAUUUAGUUCAGUACCAGUGAAUUUCAUCAAUCUUUUUUUCAAUCAACAAGCACAGAAUGGAUUCAUAAGCGAUAAUUUAGACUGUACUUUGUAACAUUGAUUAUAUCAUUGUCUUCACAUUUUCAUUUGGAUUUACUGUAUGGGAUAAUAGUAAUAUGCAAAGCAAUGAGCAUUAAAUAUGUGUAAAUAUUUAAACAUUCCAGAGUCAGUCAGAAAUUCUCCAUUGUGUUAAAAGACAGUGAAAUUUUAAAAA